rnacentral:rRNA from 1 species
UACAGAGGUCCCAAGCGUUGUUCGGAUUCAUUGGGCGUAAAGGGUGCGUAGGCGGCGGGGUAAGUCAGGUGUGAAAUCCCGGAGCUCAACUCCGGAACUGCACUUGAUACUACCUUGCUAGAGUACUGGAGAGGAGACUGGAAUUUACGGUGUAGCAGUGAAAUGCGUAGAUAUCGUAAGGAAGACCAGUGGCGAAGGCGAGUCUCUGGACAGUUACUGACGCUGAGGCACGAAAGCGUGGGGAGCAAACAGG